UAGACUGUACAUACUGGACAAACGGAUUCCAUUGGCUUCAAUAACACGUUUGUUGUCUAUAAUGGGAGGUGGCCACCACCGCCAUUUUGACCGUGUCACAGGUUCCGUCCAGCCCAGACAAUUCCAUAAAAGGGAAGAGAGGAGGCGCUGAGGGUGUGGCUGUAAGGCUGGGCUCGAGUGACGACACCCAGGUGAACUAGCUACGAGCUAACCUGAAGCUAACCCUGGCUAACCCAAAGCUAAAGCGGAGGUGGGAGCCGAGCUAACGGAUGUAGCCACCUAGCUUCAACCCAACCGGAGCUAACUGGAACACCCAUCGACCUGAACCUCACACGGAGUUUAGGUGGAGGUUUUCUGCGCCUGUUCGUGAGAAGUACCUGUAUUAAAAAAGUUUUAAAUCGAUCUAUUAAAAGGUCACCAUGGCAGCCUGUGUGUCAACGUCAGCUACACAAAGCAGCAAGUGUAAGUACCAAGUACUUGUUUUGACCACUUCAUGAAUGGUUUUGUACUUUAAACAGCUAGGCCAAACCUGUUAUUUUUUCCUCCAUAGCCAUUUGGAUCAUUGGAGACAGCUGAGUGAGGCGUGGUGCCCAGAGAGCUGCAGAGACAACCUUGGCCUCCCUGACGUCUGUGUCUCUUGGUUUGGUUGGGGCGGACCAUCGACAUACAUACAUGUGCCGACACUUUGCGCCCUGUUUUAUAAACUGUAGUGUUAAAAAUAAAUGUUUUUGCUCAA